rnacentral:lncRNA from 1 species
ACACAGAAGUCAAGUUUUGCUCUCAGCUUCAUGGUUUUGAUCAUUUUUUCCCCAGUUAAUGUCCACAUGGCUUAGAAUGUUAUAUUCAAUUUUGACACUCUGAAGGAAUCAAGCUUUCUUGUUUUUAAGUAAAAUUUCUUUCAACUCAUGACCACAGAAUAUGAGGAUAAUACUCUCUUGGGGUGAGUGAUGGCUAUUUUCGGUUGUCAACUUGACGCUGUCUGGCAUGAACUACAAUCCAGAAAUGGAGGGCACACCUCUGAUCCAGAUCUUGAGUCGGGGAGAAAACACACCUUUGAUCUGGAUCUUGAGGCGGGAAGACACCAAGUUUGUGAUCUAAAUCUUGAGGUGAGAUGACGCACACCUUUAAUCCAGCCAGAUCUUCAGGCACGGCUUUAAUGUGGGCCAAAUCUUCUGCAGGAGGCCUACAUAAGGGCAAUGAAGAAGGAAGGGUUUGCUUUUCUUUGCCUGCUUGCAUUCCCUUUGCCAGCAUAUCCAUUGGGGACCACUUCUUCAGGAUCCCAGCUUAUCCUGAAGACCAGCCGAGACAAUCAGCCUUGUGGGGCUGAGCAACUACCAGAUGCUUGGACUUUCCAUUCUCAGCGGCCCAUUGGUAUAUAUGGAUUCAUUCCAUAAAUUCUGUGACUCUAGAGAACCCUGACUAAUACAGAAGAAUGUCCUAGAGCAAUUGCUUCAUGCUUAGUACUCACAACAGAAGGCUGCAGGUCGGAAGCCAACUUACACACACACACACACACACACACACACACACACACACACAACACACACACGCCGCCCCCUCUCCCCCCGGGUGUGCAGGAUGAAUGUUCUCGAGAAUCAGUUCUUAUAGCACAGAUAGCAGAAGAAGCUGGCAAUCUCUCGAACCAGAGGAAGAAUCAUGCCCAGAGUUGUGAACAACUGUUCCUGUAGCCUAGACACAGAGUACCGUAGAGAACGAGUUUGAGUGCCACAGCUCUGCAGUACCUUGUUUGGGCCCCCGGGCGGGACAAAGCUUUUGCUUAAUCCUUAGGUGAGGUGACAGACUGGUAGCCAUGAUUGAUCAAAAGUUGGCUGCUUGACUAGUGGAAACCUAGCUAACUAAAUUGGGUUUUGGUUACAAACACAUGAAGUUGUGUUGAAGUUGACUAGCCAGGACUGAAAAUACAGAUGCAUUCCCAGGCUAAUGUUAAUCUCACACUGUUGAGAAAGACGCAUCUCCUAUUCGGGCUUCGCUAUUUGCAUCUGAGGCUGUAGUAGGACACAUUAUCUUUGGAGUUACUGAUAUUUCUGAGUCCAUUUUUGGAUCCUGAUCUAGUGGAGAAUGGCAUCCGUGUCCUUGUCUGAACUCUGCUUGCUCAAUCAGUUGUCACUGCCAUUACAUUCUGGGCCCUGAUGGGUAAUAGGUAAUUCUGGAUUCCUCCCUGCCUUUUAUGGUUAGGAGAAACUGAGAGCACUCUUGUAAGCUUUGUGAAAUGCAAUGCCAGCAUGCACUAGCAGUCUGACUGGUACAUUAAAGAAAGACAUGGUGUCCAUCCCAGGAACCUUUGGGAAUCAUUGGAUACUUGCAAAAAGAGUCACCAUGUCAGGGUAGAAGGAAUAGAGACAGUGACGAUAGGAGACUUAUUACUACAAACUUGGAAUACCUAUUUACAAUGCAUCUCCAAUGAUUCCAGAAGGUUCCGAUGACGAGGUCAGAUCCCCAGGAGUUAGAGUUACAGAUGUCCAUCUGUAACAGCCAUAGAGCUGUCCAUCCCGUGUUCAGGGAACUGAACUUGUGUCUUCCAGAAGAGCAGCGAGUGCUCUUCACUGCUGAGCUAUGUCCCCUAUUCCCUUCAUCUGCUCUAUUUAAACUGGUGAUCUCAGCACUUUGAAUGACACCUAUCAGGUAGCUGUUGAGUUACAAGGGGACGGCUAUCGGUGUGAAAAAGGUGACUUUCUCUCUAUGGUGACAUCAUGACAGCCGCUGAGAUGCCCCCUACACCACCUCUCCCCACACCCCCAUCACUGUCACCCACAUACUGGAACCUGAGGUUAGGAAAUGAUUUUUCCUCUUUGCCUGGCAUCCCACCCCAGUUCUCUCUCCUGGAGCAUUGCCCCCUGAAUUCCUUUCUCCCACCAGAUGGCACUAUGUCUUCAGUAUUCAGAGCUACAGGUUUAUUGAAAUGAGGCUUCUUUGUUCUCCCUGCUACUCGAACCUUAACGAAUGGGUUUAAAGACCUAUUCCAGGCUAACAUCAUGAAUACCUUUUUUUUUUUUUUUAAAUGGCAGGCAGCCUAGCUAUAUGAAAGUUCGUGAAAUAUUUAUAAAAGCCAACUAAAAAGGCAAUAAAGACAUUGAUUUCUACAGCCAAAGCUGAGAUUUUGAUGUCACUGACAAUCAAUGUUAAGAUGUUAACAUACACAUACACAUACACAUACACAUACCCAUACCCAUACACAUACAUGUACCCAUACACGUAUACACACACACACACACACACACACACAUACACACACACACAUACAUACAUACACAUAUACACAUACACAUAUGUAUAACAUACUAUAUCGUUUACAUGGUCUCAUCUAUCAGGAAAACUUACAGAAUUCAGGUUUGAUGAAGAGCUUUGGGUGUUGCGCUCUGGGGUCUUCUGGCCACUGGUACCUCUGAGGUAGCCUGAAGUUCAUGGAAGGAAAAGUCUGAUUAUUUCCCUCCCAUAAGGACAGGGUCAUUAGGUGUGGGCUUGAGGGUUUAGCUCCGGGUUUGUGCAGGCAAAGGGAACAGAGAAGUCACACACACACAAUCAUCCCCUCAGCUGACAUGGAACUAUAAGCAGCCUGGGCAACACACUUUCUAAGUCUACUUACUAUUCUUCCAAAGUAGCUGCGAAGGCUCCUAGUUUCACAACAUACCCCACAACCAGCAGCCUGGGAAGCUCUGAGGAGGUUUAUAUAUAUCUAACCUAGAGGCGUCUUGUUCAGUCAUAAAACAAUGUCUUGUCUGUAAUUUUACUAUUAUUCCCAGGAAAUCAGACCCUUAGAUGGACAGGCUGAAUGCUUCACAGAUCUGAUGGCUUCCCUCCGUGCAUUCUCUCUUCUUAUGAGUACAUUAAAUAAUAUUAAUAUAUUUUUAGUAAGUGACUUUCUUGGAGAAAUACUUCAGAGUUUGUUUUUUUUUUUCCUACUAAUAAGACUUCCAGAUAAACACAUUACAAACCAACCUAUGAAUCAAAUUCUUGAUGGUAGCUAUUUCCUCUUAACUUUGUUUAAAUUUAUCUCAUACGGUACCCUUUGCAGCACUGCUAAAUUCUUAUAUUAUCUUAAAGAGGAGAAACAUCAGUAAAUUAAAAACACAUUUUUUUUGUGAGUGGAUUAAUAUGAACUGUCAUCCAUGUGAAAAGCAGUGCAUAGCUAUUGUGUAAAAACAAACAUUUCCAAUUUCUCCCUCUCAGAGUAAUGCUAAUGGCGUCAUGCUGGUGGGCAGCGCUCUCUCUCUCUCUCUCUCUCUCUCUCUGAGAUAAUUGUCUAACUCACACAUAACCCCUGAUUCUUCUAUGUGAUCACUUGGUAUUAGACUCCUAUUAGGGACAAUUAACAGGCACAGACUUAAGGGAAGUGAAAACAGAUAUAAAGAAAGCACAUGGCAGAGACGGAGUACGGGGUAGAGAUAAGAACUUGUGAUCGCUGAGAGCAACAGGAGUCACAGACAGCACCCUCGUGUCUCGGCUUUGACCAUGGGCCCUUCACUGAUUACCAGAGAGGAAGGUUCAACUCCCAACCGUUUUCCUGACCAGCUGCCUACUAUUUUGAGAAAAGCAUGCUUAUUUAGAUCCCAGAACACACUGGUGGAAUAUGUCUUCUAAGGAAAAUCCUAGAAUUAUGAAUAACAUGUUAAAUGAAUGAACACGUGGAUCUAUUUGCUCUUUUGGGUGUUCGUGUAAACCAGAGAUGGAAGAUAAGAUCCUAUGAACUUUGAGCCUUGAAAAGACAAAACUAAUCGAUUGUCCAGCUGUGCUUUGAGUGCCUCCAAGACUGUAGCACACAGACAGCUCUUAUCCAGAACACAUUAAUCCAACUCAGUCCCCAGAGCUCAGACUUGGUGUCUCUGUCUGCAUUUGCCUAAUCUAAAUAUCUGAGUUGUUUCAUGCUUUGAGCCUGUGUUAUAUAUAUCCAGACACCGAUAUACAUACAUAUUUAUCUAUGUUUACCUUCAAUGUUUAUACCUGGUACAGUUCUUUGUAUAAACAUGCAACUGUCUGUAUACAUACGAAAAUACAAAAUAUUAAUUAUUGGUAUGCUCUUUAAUGAUGUUAUAAUGAUCUUGAUUUAAUAUUUCAUAUUUACUGUUUUUCAGUAACACAUUUUAUUUGGAGUCAGAAAAAUGAUAUUACUAUAAAAUCCUAA